GAGGAAAGAGGGGGGCGUGCUUAACACAUGCAAGUCGAACGAUGAAGCCUAGCUUGCUGGGUGGAUUAGUGGCGAACGGGUGAGUAACACGUGAGUACACUGCCCCUUACUCUGGGAUAAGCGCUGGAAACGGCGUCUAAUACUGGAUAUUACCUUUCAUCGCCUGGUGUUUGGUGGCCCGCUUUUUCGGUUUGGGCUGGCCUCGCGGCCUAUCAGCUUGAUGGUGCGGUAGUGGCUCACCAUGGCGACGACGGGUAGCCGGCCUGAGAGGGUGACCGGCCACCCUGGGCCUGAGACACGGCCCAGACGCCGACGGGAGGCAGCAGUGGGGAAGAGGGCACAAUGGGCGCAAGCCGGAGGCAGCAACGCCGCGUGCGGGAUGACGGCCUUCGGGUUGUAAACCGCGGGGAGGAGGGAAGAAGCGUAAGUGACGGGACCGACAGAAAAAGCACCGGCUAACUACGUG
rnacentral:rRNA from 1 species